CGGUCGGGAUUGAUGGUAUCGGAGGGGGUAAUUUUUUAAAGAGUUUAGCGCAGCGGAUUAAUAACACAGAGAGCGUAAAGCGUAUUAGAUCACAGUUGAAACGAUUUUAGCCUUUUUUAUAAAAAAACAAUUUUCUUUAAGAAAAUUAAUCAAGCAGUUGAUGUGCGUUAAAGUAAAAUAAGUAUAGGGCAUAAGAAAAACACACAAGGAUUUUUAUACUGGUUCGAUUCAACAGAAUCUACGUCCAGUCAUUAAUCACUACAAAGAGUGAUUAACAGUUCCACUAAAAAUGAUUUAACAGAUUACAAUGAAAAAUACAGAAAUAGAAUGAAAGGAACCACUUUACCAACUUGAAGAGAACCUGCUCCGGCAAUCGAGAAACGAUUCACGAGCUUCUCCUUUCACAAGACCAGGUAGAGAACCUUGCCAACUUGAAGAGAGUCCACUUCGACUAUCGACACACGAUACG
rnacentral:lncRNA from 1 species